UUGGCUAAAAAGUUCAUUUGGGUUUUUCAUAACAUCUUAGGGAAAAACCUGAAUGAAGUUUUUGGCCAA
rnacentral:miRNA from 1 species